UACGUAGGGGGCAAGCGUUAUCCGGAUUUACUGGGUGUAAAGGGAGCGUAGACGGCUUUGCAAGCCGGAUGUGAAAGCCCGGGGCUCAACCCCGGGACUGCAUUUGGAACUGUAUGGCUGGAGUGUCGGAGAGGCAGGCGGAAUUCCUAGUGUAGCGGUGAAAUGCGUAGAUAUUAGGAGGAACACCAGUGGCGAAGGCGGCCUGCUGGACGAUGACUGACGUUGAGGCUCGAAAGCGUGGGGAGCAAACAGG
rnacentral:rRNA from 1 species